rnacentral:hammerhead_ribozyme from 1 species
AUCCAGCUGACGAUUCUCAAAUAGGACGAAACGCGUGUCCUAGAU